GUUAUCCGGAAUUAUUGGGCGUAAAGAGCUCGUAGGCGGUCUGUCGCGUCUGCCGUGAAAGUCCGGGGCUCAACUCCGGAUCUGCGGUGGGUACGGGCAGACUAGAGUGAUGUAGGGGAGACUGGAAUUCCUGGUGUAGCGGUGAAAUGCGCAGAUAUCAGGAGGAACACCGAUGGCGAAGGCAGGUCUCUGGGCAUUAACUGGCGCUGAGGAGCGAAAGCAUGGGGAGCGAACAGG
rnacentral:rRNA from 1 species